AAUCAACGCUGGCGGCGUGCCUAACACAUGCAAGUCGAACGCGACUGGGGCUUCGGGCCUCAGUUGAGUGGCGAACGGGUGAGUAACACGUGGGUGACCUACCUUCGAAUGGGGGAUAACGUCCCGAAAGGGACGCUAAUACCGCAUAACAUCCUGCCUUUGAACAGGCGGAGAUCAAAGCCGGGGAUCGCGAAGACCUGGCGUUUGAAGAGGGGCCUGCGUCCGAUUAGCUAGUUGGUGAGGUAACGGCUCACCAAGGCGACGAUCGGUAGCCGGCCUGA
rnacentral:rRNA from 1 species